CCGGGCAGACGAGUCAAUGAAGCGGCUCCCAGUCCCGCGCGCGGCUGAGCGGCUGAGCGGCACGGCCGUUCCGGGAAACGGGCCCUUCACGUCCUCUGUGGAGGCCACCGAGAGCCCUCGCACCCCCAGAGGGUGUGCCGCGGGACACCCGCGCGGUACCAGGUGCACCCUUGGAGGCCAGGCUGUCGCUGGUGGAAACGUCCUCGCCGCGCACCGCGGGGCUGCAGUUGAAGGCGGGGGUUGGAAGAAAACAGGAAGAAGUCGUUCGAGCUUGGGUUUCCCCCCCAGCGGACCUGAGGCGAGCAUUUGGGUACAACGGGAGUACGGGGCUCGUGCCUGAGCAGGUGUCCAGAGGGCCACAGGGGCUCAGUCUCGCUGAGGACACUCGAGACCGCGUGGAAUCCGCCGCAGCACUGUCCCCAAGAGGCGAGAAGGAAAGCUCCACUGCCCAUACCUCAAUGAAAGCUUCUUAACUCGGGUGAUUCACACCAGCUCCUCGGGGAUUCACAGAAGCAAGAGCCCAGAGAAUGUUGACAGAUGAAAGAGCCCCUGGCCGAAAGCCUGGAGCCAAAGCCUGAGAGGCCCUCUCUCUCUUUCACUCACUGACACAACAAUGUGUGUUUGUUUUGUUUUGUUUUUCUUUUUUUCUUUUUUGGUACCGGGGAUCUAACUCGGGUCCUUGCGCUUCUGCGCAG
rnacentral:lncRNA from 1 species